AAACCCUGAUCCAGCCAUGCCGCGUGAGUGAUGAAGGCCUUAGGGUUGUAAAGCUCUUUUGUCAGGGAAGAUGAUGACGGUACCUGAAGAAUAAGCACCGGCUAACUACGUGCCAGCAGCCGCGGUAAU
rnacentral:rRNA from 1 species